ensembl:lncRNA
CUUCAGACACACCAGAAGAGGGCAUCAGAUCUCAUUACAGAUGGUUGUUGAGCCACCAUGUAGUGGUUGAGAUUUGACCUCAGGACUUCUGGAAGAGCAGUCAGUGUUCUUAACCACUGAGCAGUCUCUCCAGCCCCCCUGCAUAUUUCUUAACCGGCCCUGAAGUCUGUGCUAAUCCAGUGUUCCAGAGUACUCCCCAAGAGAAGACCACAGACAUUUGCAACUCUGAUCCUGUCCAACUGAGCUUCCAGUGCUCUAAGGCAAAGAAUAAACAGGGAUUUCCAAGGCCUCUCCACGAAAUCGGUCCAGAAUCAAGCUCUGGGGAGAAAAUGGUAGCACACAGAACAAGGGGAGUAUCACAUGCUUGCCUCUCAAUAUGAUUGGUAUUUCACAGAAGGUCAUUAGUGGAGGUGCUCGGGGUCACUGUAAAUUCCUGUGCUGUAAUCUGACACUUGGCACACACUGACAGAAGUCCCUCUGACCCUUGACAGAAUGCCCUGAAGGACAUUUUUACAUUAUGACUGGAGAUGAGACCCUCAGAGGGAGAGAGGCAAAGCUCCACUGAGCAUGAGUUGGGACCUACAGAUUGAUAUCUCUACUGUUGCCCUGGGCUGUUUGAGAGUCAGUGCGAUUAUCUGAAAUAAACCCUUUUCAGUUGCAUUUCUAUCACAGUGACGUGACACUUCCAAGUUAUACUGCAUGACCAUGUGAAGCCAAGGCUCGUGUGCAAAGGGACUACCCAUGUCAUAGCCACAGUCUAGAGCAGAGGGAAAGAAAGGCCUGCAUGAGGCUUGCUUGCUUGUGCUCAUCUAGAGCUCUCUGCUGUCAUGCAGUCUGGGACAGAAGCCUAGGGAUUGGCACUACCCAAACUGUUGUACCUUCCAUUGUCAGUUAAGGUAAUCAAAGAGGUCCUCUACAGACAUGCUCACAGGGGACUUCAUCUAGAGGACUCCUCUGUGAAGACUCUCCCUCCAGGUCACCUCUCCUGCACUGCUUGAGAGUCUGAUUAAAGACCAUGAAUUGCUCCAGUGGCCACCACAGCUCCCAACAUUGAAAACUCUCAGACUCAUGACUAGAGGCUUCAGCUUCUCACUUUGCCUGGGCUCAAGGCUGACGCCUUGUAGUGUGUUCUCUCUGCCAGCUCAGUUUCUCCCCACGUUAUACCUGACACUGUUUUCACUCAGCCAUCAGCUCAUAACUGCGAUGUCUCUACUGUGUCCUCGAGUAAUGCUUUCCAGACAUAGAGGAAGAUUUCUCAGCAGACUCUUUGCCUUCAGGUUAAUCCUCUUAUUUCCACUGCCCAGUCCUUUUACAGGUAUGAAGCCCCUUCCUCCAAGAAAGGAUAGCGACUGGUCAGCCUCUAUGCCAUUUCCUUCUGUUACCGUGUGCUUCUUUGAGUAGGUCCAAUCCUGUGCUACAGACAUUACCCUAAUUUUCACAGGUGGUAUGGCUCUAAGAGCCUAUAAUCUUGCAAGUAUGUUAUAUUAUUUACAUAUAUACUCAUUCACUUCCGUAUUCACUUUCUCCUUUAUCCUCUCUGUCUGUCUGUCUGUCUGAUACUUCUGCUUUCUGUCUUUGCAUCUGUUUCUGCCUAUCUCCUCUUCUCUCUCUCUCUCUCUCUCUCUCUCUCUCUCUCUCUCUCCCUCUCUCUCCCACCCUCCCUCCCUCCCCCUCUGUCUCUCUCUCAUUGUUUGCGGGGGUGCAGCAUGAUAUUUUCUGCGUAGCCUAUAGAGAUCAGAGAAUACUCUAUUAUUGAUGGAAAUCUCAAACUUGGUGAAAUACCAGGUAUCAGAUUCAAUUGCCUAUUUUUGGAAAAGAUUUUGCAGGUGAAGAAGCUGAAGGAUCUGAGGUAGUGCCAGUACAUGCAGGAGUAGUGGACUGGUCUGGGGAGUGGGAGCAUCUGCCUUGGCACACACAAACAAUUUGUUCUCUUUUGGAUGCCAGUCAGGACAAUCUUAUCUCUCCUGCAGACUUGCCUUGAUUGUUGACUUGGGGAUCCUCAACCUCUCAGCUUAGUUCUCUAGCGUUAAGUCUCAUGGAAUCUUAGCAUCCUAAUUCAUUCACCCCUGAUAUUUCUCCCUAGCUUUAUUUUGCCAGAACUUUCUGUGGUUAUGACAGUACAUCUGUAACACUUUAGGAUGGUCAAGCCCAAAUCAGGGUACCCUUACAUAAGAUGCUCUUAUUUACCUGUGAGCAGCCCAAGCCAGGAACCCUAAUCUAGACUCAGUGCUGAGAGUGAACUUAAAGCUAAGACCAUGACCUUCCCCAGUAUGGUUUCUGAGCCUGAGAUCUGCCGGCUCCACUGUGAAACCUUCUUGAUUCAUUCAGGGUUGGGACUUUUCUAUUCUUUCAUUGUCAGUGUAAAGAAAUACAUCUGUAGAAGGUGGAAGUCGAGAAAGUAAGGGGCAGGGGUUUCUUGCACGAUCUUGACCCAUGCUGGGUCUUCUCCCUUCCACCUCCACCUUCCACACAAAAUAUACCCCAACUCUCCAAAGGUCAUGCCCAUUCCGGUGUCCUUCACUCAGGAGAUUGGAGCAAGUGUCCAAGGAGUGAUGGUCAAGCUCUGGUUUCUCUCAGAGAGUCUGAGCUAGACCACUGAUGUGCUGGGAAACACUUCCCUACUCUAUGGGACCUUCAUCUGCUGUAAUGUCCAACAACCUGUUCAAGGAGCAAUGUACCUCUGCCAUGAUGAAUACAAGGUAGACAGAGAGUCCAGAAAAGAAAAUGAGUCUGCCGUCUACCACCUUAACACUGUGCAAUUCUACCUUCUAGGGAGCAGGGACAAAUCUGCACGGUCCUACCUCCCAGAAGAUGAGGCGAGGCGUUGCGGUUAGCAUGACUCGUGACAUGAAGCACUCAGAGGUUCACCACGAAUCUGAAAGUCAAGACACCGACCUCCAUUAAUAUUGUCUUCCUUAGCCUUCCCUUAGAGACAAAACUGAAAGUCACCGUGGACCUUAUCUUUAACAUGCUGAGUGCAUCUCAACAUUGAUCAUCGUGAAUAGACCUUCUAACCAACACUGAGAAUUCAUUUGCCAGAAAAUGGAACAUCCUUGUGGAAAUGACAUCUCUGGACCCUCAUAAGCCCAUCCUGGUGGAGGGUAGAGCUCUGUCAGUCAUGGGAGCAGUGCGUCUCUGCUGGUCAAGAUGAGUGGAUUCGUGGAAACUUUUAUCAAAAUGUGUUAAUGAUCUCAAGCAUUUGACUGUUAAGUAAGUGUUCAAAAUGGUGUGUGGACACCCCAUUUGCACAAAGGAGGCAAGAAGUCUGCUGAAGUCUUGGGGGUUCUGGACCCGGCUUGUGUGUUUAGCAAGGCUCAGGUGUGGGAGGACACCUCUGGACAGGGGCAUAUCUGCAGUGUCCCACCAUUUCCUCAUGAUGCUCCCAUGAGACUGGGAAAUGGAGAGGACACUGUCAUACUAAAAUGGAGUCUCUGGGGUAUGAAUGUAGGUCUGUGCACAGUGGAGUGGGUGCUCAUCAGAAGUAACAUUUGCACAUUUUUUCCAGCUAUGGAGGAAGAACCAUUGGCCAUCAUCCUCACCCGUGGAUGUGUCUAUAUGUCCGUCCCAGCCCUUGAGCUGUCAAGUCUCCAGGGGAAACUUCGUAGGGGAAGCUGCAGGAUCUACGUGUGGGUCUCUUUGCUUGCCUUCAGUACACGGAUAACACAGCCACACUUAGGGAGGAAAACAAAGGCCUUGAGACGCCACGCUGUUCACCAGCUCUAGCAAUGCAGGAGCAGAGCCUGCAACCAACAUCAAAACUUUUGAGUCUGAGGACCCUGUCACCUUCCCCAGGACAACUACGAUGCCACUGGACAGGAGAGCUCCACCGAAAAGCUCAGACUUCAGCCUCUUGUCAAACAUUUUGGCCUUGCUGAUGUCCACCGCUUAGCAGUAGAUUGCAGCCAAGUAGCCUGGGCUCUAUAAGGAGGGACCACAUCCUUAGGAAGUACUUGGAAAGCAUCCAUGCACAGGAGGAAAGUUCAAAUCCAAAGUCUCAUCAGAGAUUCCAGGAUACAGAGAGCCUGACAGCCUCAGGUCAGAGGUUACCUUGAAUCCUAGAAGAGGAAGAAGGCCCCACUCCACAGAAGAAGCUUGGUGAUGAUGCUGUUGCAACCAGGACUAGGAAUGUGACACUUGUGUCUGUGGAUACCGGGUUCAGGAGUCUUGUGCCCAGGUAUCCACAGUCCUCAGGUACCUCAUUUGGUGGAAUUUUGCAAGUUCUGACAUUGUCAGUGUUAUGUGCUAGUCGUGUCCCACUUGACACAUAAGCUAAGAAAGAUAACCUCUGAGUGGAUAUAGGAUAAGAUUUAAACUUAGGACUACAUGCAGCCAGAAAGAUGAAAUCUUUCAGCCAGGGGUUGAGACAUGUCUACUGGCUGAGGAGCUCACUUCUCAACGGCUCUCCUGAUAGCAUACACUGGGAGAGUAGGGUGGGGAAGAAAAGAGGUAUCCUGGGGUUUCCCCUGGCUCCUUUAGUUGUAUUCCGGGCUUUCUGCAGCAGCACAUGACAUGCAAGUAAUAUGUUGCUAAUACUUUACCCAGUCUUCCAGCUGGCAAACCCUUAAAGCAAUCCUUUGGUGUGUGUGCACUGUUUUAAUAAUAUAUACAGCCCUGGCUUUAUGUAACUCUAUGCUUCCUCAAGAUUCCUAGGUCCCAUGAAGAUUUUAGCUUGUUAAAACAGAUGUCUGGAAUGUGGGGCUUGUAAAAUUGGCUGUUGCCUCAAAAGUGCAACCUGAUGAGGGUUUGACAUAGACGCCCCAUCAUGAGUUUCACUGUCCUCAGGAGGACACGUAACCAUCAAACAAGGAUGCUCCCCAUUUUGCAGAAGAAGAGAUAUAAAGACUUCUGAAGCUUCUGCAACUUUCAAAAAGUGAUCCUGAAGCAAGGAGAAGGUGCUGACUUAGGAUGAGACCUCGAGCUCAUAUGUUCAACACAAAAAAUCCAUCCAUCCAUCCAUCCAUCCAUCCAUCCAUCCAUCCACUCACCCUCUCUCAAACAUUCCUCCCUUUCCUCAAAAAAUGUGCCUAGAAUGUCUCCAGGAUCUCCUGCCCGUGAACCUGGUCUCUAAAGUCACUAAUUUUGGGCUGCACUAUGCGGAGCUCUUCUGCACUUUGCUGCUCACAAGUCCUUUCUUUCCUCUGCCUGGGAUCCCCGUCCUGCAGCUGUACAUUGUUUCUCCUUAUCAAAUCCAACAUCCAGAUGAUCCUGCUUGAGUGAUCCAUAGACUUCUUAAACCCCCUGGGCUCUGCUGCUCUCUAGAAACACCCUGGAGGAAAUCCUAAGUGAGGCUUCACCUGUCACUGGGCACCUGGGAGGCUGGAAAAGCUGGC